rnacentral:rRNA from 1 species
GAUGAACGCUAGCUACAGGCUUAACACAUGCAAGUCGCGGGACCGGCGCUCGGGAGAGUAACACGUAUCCAACCUGCCCUUUACUGGGGGAUAGCCUUUCGAAAUAUAGAUUAAUACACGAUGUGCAGGUUGGGGAUGCGUUCCAUUAGGUUGUUGGUGAGGUAACGGCUCACCAAGCCUUCGAUGGCUAGGGGUUCUGAGAGGAAGGUCCCCCACAUGGGAACUGAGACACGGUCCAAACUCCUACUGGAGGCAUAAGUGAGGAAAAUUGGGCAAUGGGCGUUAGCCUGAACCAGCCAAGUAGCGUGAAAGAUGAAGGCGUAUGGGACUAAAACUUCUUUUAUAUAAGAAUAUGUAAUAUAUGAAUAAGGAUCGGCUAACUCCGGGCCAGACGCCGCGGUAAUAC